GGCCCGAGGGGCGGGGGCGAUGAAGGCGAGUCACAAGGGCUGAGGCGGGUCACGUGGCGCCCGGAGGGCUACCGGUGGGCUUUGGGUUGGAAGGUCAGUCUGAAGUAGGAUUUCUGAGAACGCUUUGUCCAUAGUUUCGGCUCCGAGAGGGUGAAGAAAGGAAAACGCUGAAUGGAAGGAGUGAGUGCUGGGUAGGAAAAUGUGAAUGAGUCUCUCUAGCUGUCUCCAGCAUGGAGCUACCCUGUCACUAAAUCCCAAGAUCCACGGAAACGGGCAGAUAGUCUCGCAAAUUCACUGGCCGCUUUUUACUGUUAAACAUAGUCACGUUUCAACGCGUGAAAACGCUGAAUGCGUUCUAGUGUCCCUUACUGGGCCGUGGAAAGGGCUGCUCCCCAAGGAUACUAGUGAUAUAUAUAAGACUAAGUUCAAAGGUCACUUUGUAGGCCUGAAUCUUGCAUGUUCUCUUGGAGUGGUUUCUGUGACCUACAUUCUUGAAGGUUUUUCUUUUCCCCUGGCCCCACUGUUGCGGACACCAUACACCCUCAGAUGGUCUUUGUCUUCAGUUAAUUUUUCUGAGUCUGGUCUUUGUCGAUUACUUGAAAGAGCCGCAGGAUCUGAUCCUCAGACUUCUCCUUCUGAGCCUCAUAAUCCUCUGAUGCACACUAGAUGAUCUAACCGUUCUGACGUCUGGACAGCUUGGUCUGAAUCUGCAUAUAUAAGUGCCUUUUAGACAGUUUGGCUUGCCUACCAACAAAAUGUAACCAAGUUGAAAUUCCUGUACACUCUGGAGUCCAGGAGGUUUGUGGCUGAAUGUUUCUGCCUUGUCAAUGAAGAACAGGAUUUGAGGCUAACAGAAGACUCAGAUUUGAAGAGAGCCAUAUUUUCUCAAACUAGAAAGAACUAAAAUUCCAGAGAUAACAAGAAUGUAUUGGCAGCACCCUUUGCUAUAUUAUAUGCCUCCAGGAGGCUGGGAUCUUUGCUAAAGUCCUUCUAUUCUAGAAAACAGCAAAGGGAUGAAUCCCCAAAGAACCUACGUUUGGGACUCAUCUAUGUGGUCUAGUGACAAGAAGAGCUACCAGUUGUUCUAGUCCUUCGGAAGUCACCUGAUCCCUGCAGAACCCUCUCAAUAUCAGUGUUCAAUUUCCAACAGUCCAGUGGGAUUGGGGUUCCAAGAUUAAUCGGAAUUAUACUUUAAAGAUCUUAAGGUGCUAUCAUGGUCACAUAAACAAGAGUCACUAGGAAAGGCCCAAAAGCCCAGGUUUCAGUAAGAUGGAGCAAGAACACAGUCACUUGAGAAGCCUAAGGUCACAGAGCUUUGCAGCAGACCUGGGUCCAGUGUCUUUAUAUUUCUCAGCAUGGCGCCAAGUGGCAUAGUGUCCUAUAAAUUUAGUUGAAUUGCACAGAGCUGCCUGGCUCGGAUCCGGAGGAGGCUUGGGAUGGGAACAAAGAGGAUGAGCAGUGAGAUGCGGCGAGCCAAAGAAAACUUGACCCAAACUGUAACACUGCCUCUGGUGGUCAUCCCCAGAUCAAGAGCAAGACAUGGUUUCCUGAACAAAUGCUUCAACUAGUGUCUGACUCAUUCUGCAACUCAGUCCUUUUCUGGUGUGUGAGAUGGGGAGCUGGGGAGCAGGGUCACGGGCUGAGAGAAACCAGCUUUGACUUCUCCGGUCACCCAGUUUCCCUGGCUUCUCCUUUUGUCCAGUCUGUGCUCUGAGGUCAGAAUCUAGUCCAUAGUUAUUUAAAAGUUUUGUCUUGGCCCUGGAAUGCUGGCAUGCUCUAGUGGAAUUAGAUUUGCUAAAUGCAAUUUUCUAGGGCUGUUGAGGCUUCACUAAGAGGUUGGGUAGGUUCCCAGGAGACAGUCAGUAGACAUGCAUUCAUGUAUGUGUGUGUGUGUGGGUGUGUGUGUGUUCAUGUGUGUACAUGGUGUGAUCUUUUUCACCGAGACUAAGCAAGCACAGAUUGUACAGAGAGUAAGGAAAAGAGCUUACAGGCAAAUUUUGGCCCUUGGAGCUUCACGGUGUAUACAUGCUGCUGCAGACUUUACUGUCUACCAUAAAUAUUGUCUUAGUUCUUCCACAGAGAUCAGGAUCUCCCAGGGUGCAAGGGAAACUAUGCAAGUUCAGCCUACACGUCUGGCUGGACUUGCCCAGGGACAGCACAUGGUGAGACCUACUGUUCUCCAUCUUCCUGCCUAUCCACAGACCCUGAUUUAGAAAAGCUACUGCCCAACAGGAAAAAAGGGGCAAUGCUGGACGUAUUCCUGAUUAGUGCUCCCUGUGUCAUCUAUUUCCUGGUAGUAUGAUUCAGGUCCUUGAGAGAUUUGGACUGGACAGAAGUCAUUUGUUUCAUAACAGGGACAAUUAAAACAUGUCUCAGAAGUUCCUAGGACCCUCUAAAGCAGCUUCUCAAUUCUAAAGAAGUUCAAACUAUAUCCCAGAGAGUUCUGUGACUUCCCAAAAUCACACAGCCCAAUUGGCGGUCUGGCUUAUGAAGCAUUUUUUUGAAGGACUAAAACGUCCUAAAGUUCACAUGAAUUUUUACACUAAAUAAAGAGCGAAUUAACAACUAGCUCCCUGCCAACUAGCUUUGAAGCUUUGUUCAAAUUAUUUAAUCCCCUUUUCCUUCUCCAUGAAAUGCUGUAAAUGAUCAUUGUGUAUCAGGAGUAUGCUAAAGGUAUGAGGCAUUUACCUUGAGAGGUCUCUCAGACAUAGUAUACAAAGGGUGAUCUAAAUACACAGUGAAUGUUUACACUGUAAAGAUUUAUCUCUUCCAAAGAGCUUAAAACAUCACCCUACAAUGAUACAUGCAUACCAAUGUCUGUAGCAGCACAAUCCAUAAUAGCUAAACCCUAGAGGCAGCCUGUAUAACCCUCAACAGACGAUUGGAUAAAGGAAAUGUGGUAUCUGUAUAUAGGGUAAUACUACUUGGCUAUAAAAAGGACAAAUUUGAGACAUUUUAGCAAAAUGUAUGCACCUGGCAAAUGUUAUAUUGAAUGAAAUAAAUCAGACACACAAGCUUGAA